rnacentral:rRNA from 1 species
CCCCUAGAUGUUCUGGGCCGCACGCGCGCUACACUGAACAGUUCAACAAGUCUUAACCUUGGCCGAUAGGUCUGGGUAAUCUUUGAACGCUGUUCGUGACUGGGAUAGACCUUUGCAAUUAUGGGUCUUCAACGAGGAAUUCCUAGUAAACGCAAGUCAUCAGCUUGCAUUGAUUACGUCCCUGCCCUUUGUACACACCGCCCGUCGCACCUACCGAUUGAAUGGUCCGGUGAAAUCUCGGGACGGCGGCUUGGUCGCUUGCGUCCGACUGCUGAAACUUGAUUAAACCAUAUCAUUUAGAGGAAGGUGGAGUCGUAACA